UCAGGUUUGUUCCUAAGGAUAGGGAUCAGGUCGGUUCCUAAGGAUAGGGAUCAGGUCUGUUCCUAAGGAUAGGGAUCAGGUCGGUUCCUAAGGAUAGGGAUCAGCUCGGAUCCAAACAUAUCUUACUGGAUUGUUAUCAACAAAAAAUGAAAUCCAAUCCUUUCUUGGCUGUAUGGUGUUUGGUCAAGAGGUGGAAGAAGCGCUCAGAUCUUCUCCUGGAAUAAGGUUCUGUCUGCGGUGGACGGGUCCCUGAUGGAGGCCCCGCUGGAGGAGUCGGAGCUGAAGGACUUCCUGCAGAACCCGCCUGAUCCACAGUGUAAAAAUAGUUAAAGUUCGGAAUUCAAAAUCAUACUUAUCUAAAAAUACACAAGUAUUAGCAUCAAAAUACUCAUAAUUCAUAUUAGAUCGUAUUAUAUCAUUUAUUUUCUCUGCACUGGAUUAAGUGUCUAGAUUAUUUAGUGGCAAAAGUGAAUUUGUCCAACAGUUGGAGUUGAAAGUCUGGAAACAAUGGAAACAGUUGUAGUUUCACAGACACCAUCUUCCCCCAAUGUUCUACGAAAGUCACCUUCUGUCGCCAUGUGGGAGUUUGAAGUUUGGAUUUUUAGCUCCAGAUAUUGAAUCCUUCAAAACAUCUGAAAAAAAGUGCUUGAACGUGCCAACGGAUUAUCACAGAGAAGGAAGGCCGAAAAACGUGAACCGAGAGUUAUUUAAGUAAUAAAAAGGAUGAGAGAAGAUUGGACAAGUGUCUUUUUUCUUCUUCACAAGUAACGAAAGCGGUUUCAUUCCUUCCCUAUUAGCUCAUUUUGGACUUUUCUGCCAGAUGGGCCGAGCUUUGCUUUAUCGCUCACGCCUCCGUCUCAGCCCGGAGGACAGCUGAUGAGGGCUAAAGAGGGAAUUAGCGACCCACUCAAAGGCUUUGCUCUGAUCCUCCAGGUGGCGCUAGUGUACAAGGAGAACCACUUCAUACCAAAUCAGCUACUGGUGUAAAACCAGUGUGUGUAAAUGUGGUAGCGAAUUAUUAAACUUGUAAGUUUCCAUGAAGUUGUUUAUUGUGUGUAAUUGUCUUAUAUAAUAAAAUGCGUUAGGGAUGAAUAAUGAUUAAACGGAUAUGUGGAGGGGGACAUUUGUUAAUAAGCCUUACCUUAGGGGAGAGCGGGGUAAUGUGAGACACCCCCUGUAUCUAGGCAAAGGAACCCAUUUGUGGUAAUGUGAGAAUUAUGUUUUCAAGCCCCUCCCAUUCCCCCCUUGCCAUGAAAAAGAAGUGGUGCUGGUGCUGUGUUAAGUAUGUUUUUUCACAAAAAAAUCGUUUUUUGCAUGUAAAAGUAAAUGUUCCUGCUGUGAACUAAAUCAACUUUUGUGUCAAAACAAAUUGAUUUAGGUAGAAAACCAUAUAUCAUACAUGUCGAUGAACCUCUAACAUAUACAACCAUGUGAUUGAUGCGAGCUGAAGAUUAGCCUGAAUGGCUAAGAUAUGUUGUUUUUUCUAAAAUAGUGGCUGUGGGGUAAAGUGAGACAGUUUACCCCAAGUUAAGUUUAGUCUUAAACAUAUUUGAGUGUAAUAUUACAUUAAUUAUCUUGUAUUUGUAAUAUCAUAAACAUUGUAGAAAAGCCAUCAUGCCAAGAAACUACACCAGGAAGACAACAUGGGGCCAAACACCCCUUGCAGAGAUGGAGAGUGCAGCCGCUGAGGUCAUGCAAGGACAUAAGUCCUUAAGAAAAGCUGGAAGGGAUAGAAAUAUUGACAAGACAACCCUCAAAAGAUUUAUAAAGAAAAAUAGAAAGGGGAAGUAAAAUCAGUAUCCUGGGGUGCAGUAGCUGAGGCAAAGAGAAUAUUUACAGAUGAGAUGGAGGAGGAGCAAACACUUGAAACAACUAGCUGACCAGUUCCAUGGCCUUGCUCCAGUUAAUUGCCGUGAACUGGCAUAUGAGUUCUAAUCUAACUGGUUCUAUCUGUCAUUUGAUUGUUAAUUAAAACAUUUUGCAUUAUAUUUUGUUUUAUAGGAUUUUGUUUGGAGUUACUUUCAAGUGUUUAAAUAAAUGUGCUUAAUUGAU